rnacentral:lncRNA from 1 species
AUAUAUAUAUAGAUAUACAGUUGUAAUAGUACCAACGUUUAAUUCAUAGUUAUUAGAUUGUGUUUUUCCGUCCUGUUAGGUUUAAGAAUUAUACACUCGUUUACUGUAUUGUUAGAGCGGUGAUUGUGUGCUUAGUUAUUAGAUUUUGCUUCUAUUCAAGAGCGUAGGGUUCAAUUUGAGUAUGUAUGUUCUUUUAUAUUUAGCUUUUGUUAUCGAAUUUCUAUAAAAUGUUAUAAUAUUGAUUUUUUAAUGAUCAGUUAACUACGUGAUUAUUUAAUAUAUAUUUUUAAUCUAAAAUGUGAUAUGUAAAAUAUAGAAGAAGAAAAAAUUAAAAAAUUAAAGAAAAAAAUUUCAGCCCACUCCAAUCUAAAAUCCUAGGUCCGCCAUUGUUCGUUCUAGUUUCUAGUCGCAAUAGUUCUAUCUGAUGAAGCGAUAUGGCUCAGUUCAUAUACAAGGGUGUCUUCCAUAUAUAGUUGCUUCGAGUUUUGUCUGUGUGCAUCCAAACUCGAGCUUAAAUCAAGACGAAAACAGUACCCUAAACCCUAUCGUUGCUUGGAUCUGAGGUUACAACUUUGAAAACGAUAUAUGAUGAGGACUAGAGCUUUCACAUGCAUACAUAAUGUUCCCGAAAUCAUUCCUGAUGUCAAGGCACUACUAAAACACAUCACUAAUUACUUCAAACAUGCUAGCUUGCUAGCUCCAAAUCAGAUCAUAGUACAUGAUUUAUAAUAUUCCAGCUGCUUGUAAUUCAAUAAUCAAAUUCGAUACCAAAAAGAUGAAAAAAUACAAUGUUUGAGUAAGUUUGUUUUCCUAUUAUUUGCAGGCAUGAUGCUGCAUCCUGGAUUUGUUCUAGGUUUUCAAGUCCUUCAAUUGAGUACAAUCUGGAUAAUGACUUGGUAUCUUUAGCCAUAUGUUUGUUUACUCAGGAUGACGGGAAAUUAUUAUUUGUACCCGGAACACCACCUGUUUUAUGUUCCUAUUUAAUUUCAUUGGUCCACGUGUUUUGUCCUUAUUUCUGAUUGGUGUAUUUAAUUACUUUUCCUUUUUUUUUCCACCCUGUGCUGGUCCCCACAUGAAUCUGAGUUAUAUGAUUGGCCGGGUACAACACCUGGCAGUGCCACAUAGUGUUCCGGGUACAGAGAAUAAUUACUCAUGACAAACUCUCCAUAUUUAACGCAGCUGAAUUAGGGCUAAUGAUGGUUGGGGUAGGGCCAUUUCUGCAUAAUAACCUAUCUGAGAGAAAGCGGAAGACAGUCUUUCUGGAUGGAAUCAUCGUUUUAAAUUUCUGGUUCAAAACUUAAUUUGAGAACAAAAUCUACGGAUUUUCCAUGAUGAGCAUGUUUCCCCUUUUGAAAAUAACAUCAACUUAAUUUAAACCUAGAAAAUCUGCCCGGCCCCGUCUAGCUAACUCAUUUCGAACUUUUUACACGAGCUGAAGUGGUUGGGGGUUUAGUUUUGCCUCCUAGUUUUACUUGGCUUCGAGUCAAUUACGGCGAUGAGCUCGUGAUUCAAUCAUAUCUACUCCCAACAGCUUUGCAAUUAGUUAGGGCUAAGGGAUAACAGAAAAACCGGGGCAUGAUCCUCUGCUAACUUUAGGCCUUGAUUCUUAUGUUUUCUGCGCAAAUAUAUAUGGUUUUAAAGUUGGGUUUUUAUCAUAGAUAGUUUAUGGUUAAUUGGUUAUGGUUGCCGUAAAAACUACAAGUAAAAGAUCUAAUUUUCUAGAAGCACUUUAAGUUUUGGACCAAUGUCGACAUACAUACAUGAGAUAUAGUGAUGGUGGAGACUAAGAGGUUAGCUAUUUUGGUUUUGCUUAUACUG